AUGAUAGAUGUCUUUCUAAACUGUAAACUAAAGGAGGACAGUCUUCUCUCUUCUCUGUCCUCUUCCUCUCUUAUCUGUUCUCUUUCUCUCUUAUCUGUUCUCUUCCUCUAUUCUCUUUUCUCUUCCUCUCUUCUCUGCCCUCUUCCUCUCUUAUCUCUUCUCUGUUCUCUUCCUCUCUUCUCUGUUCUCUUCCUCUUUUCUCUCUUCUCUGUUCUCUUCCUCUCUUCUCUGUCCUCUUCCUCUCUUCUCUGUCCUCUUCCUCUCUUCUCUGUUCUCUUCCUCUCCUCUCUGUUCUCUUCCUCUCUUCUCUUCCUCUCUUCCUCUCUUCCUCUGUUCUCUGUUCUCUUCCUCUCUUCUCUUCCUCUCUUCUCUCUUCUCUGUUCUCUUCCUCUCUUCUCUGUUCUCUGUUCUCUUCCUCUCUUUGUUCUCUUCCUCUCUUCUCUGUUCUCUUCCUCUUCUCUGUUCUCUUCCUCUCUUCUCUGUCCUCUUACUCUCUUCUCUGUUCUCGUCCUCUUCCUCUUUUCUCUGUUCUCUUCCUCUGUUCUCUGUUCUNNNNNNNNNNUUCUCUUUUCUCUUCCUCUCUUCUCUGCCCUCUUCCUCUCUUAUCUCUUCUCUGUUCUCUUCCUCUCUUCUCUGUUCUCUUCCUCUUUUCUCUCUUCUCUGUUCUCUUCCUCUCUUCUCUGUCCUCUUCCUCUCUUCUCUGUCCUCUUCCUCUCUUCUCUGUUCUCUUCCUCUCCUCUCUGUUCUCUUCCUCUCUUCUCUUCCUCUCUUCCUCUCUUCCUCUGUUCUCUGUUCUCUUCCUCUCUUCUCUUCCUCUCUUCUCUCUUCUCUGUUCUCUUCCUCUCUUCUCUGUUCUCUGUUCUCUUCCUCUCUUUGUUCUCUUCCUCUCUUCUCUGUUCUCUUCCUCUUCUCUGUUCUCUUCCUCUCUUCUCUGUCCUCUUACUCUCUUCUCUGUUCUCGUCCUCUUCCUCUUUUCUCUGUUCUCUUCCUCUGUUCUCUGUUCUCNNNNNNNNNNACACACACACACACACACACACACACACACACACACACACACACGCAUGUGCACGUGCAACACACAAACACGCACAUAGGGCUUGGCAAUAUAUUGUGAAUACUGGUAUACCUGUAUGGAUCCACAUACCGGUAUGGAUUUUUUUUUACAAUAUUGUCUAUAACGAUAUUUUUGAUAAAGUGCUAAUUUGA
rnacentral:lncRNA from 13 species